UUUAUACAUUUUUAAUUGGCUUCACUGCGUAUAUUUGUGUCCUUUCAAUCUUGUAACUAAAAUUUGAACCACUUCCCGGUAUCUGAUCGGUAUCAGUUGAAAUUUGGAGACUUUCUAUAAUUUCGAUGACGAUGCGAUAAUAUGCUAAUAUAGUGCUGAUCUAACGAUGCAAUUGGAACGGGAUUCUAGUAUGGAUAAACACAAACACAUUGAGUCUAGGUUCAUUAGACAGGACUCAAGAAGUACUUGAUAGACAUGCGACUGAGAAGAAGAACAGUUAGCAAUAGAAGUGUGUCUCAAUUUUUUACGGUAACAUGUUUUCAGUUGGAGUCCAUCGCUCUCAUACGAACAAUACGUUCAAUUUUUACUAUCUUCCGUAUUCAAUACAAUACAAUUUGAUAUUUAAUAACACUCUUUAUUGUACAACUUGCUUUAUUUUAUAAGCUAUGCUAAAAAAAACUACAAAUAUCAAAUAUCAAACAUUUAUUCAGCAAUUAGGCCACAGGGGCACUUUUAAUUGUCCAUUUUUACAAACAUUAAAAAUUACAAAAAACAAUUACAAAUAUGGAAUCCAUGAAAUAAUAUAUACUUUAUUAGAGAUGUAUACUGUCUUCAGCUGUCAAAAAUAAACUAUGAUAAACAAAUAAGACCAACAAAUACUAAAAUUCUUCUACUUAUCUACCUAUUUUGAAUUAUAUAUUUACUUAUUUACAUUUUGUACUCUUUAUUUCGUGGCUAGAAGUAAAUGUCGGAACAUUUCUUGUAACCAAGAAAACUUAUUAAAUUUAGAUGAUUGACAAAGAUGUUGCGGAACUUUCAAAAAUAUUGUUUAUCUCAAUUUCCUUAGCUUGAAAUAUUUCACAUUUUUCUUUUAAGGAGCAGACAAAACUCAAUUAAGUUAUUACAACGGGCGACUUCAUUUAAUUAUAAGUAUUCCUGCGCGGCUAUUUCUAUUGCUUGCCGUGCGCAGUCGAGCAUAACUUUUAGUAAAUCCAGUAUAAUAGCAGCCUCUACAUUCGUCAAAACUAUGCGUAGCAUGAGGUCUAAUCAUACUGGUUUGCCUUCAGGAAGUGAUUGGAUUUCAGGGUCUGAAGAUGGCAGACGUCCUGUUAACUGUUAGGAACAAAACGGGAACUGUCCAUUCCAUCUGCUAUUUUUUUCACUUUUGUUUCGCCUCAUUCUUGUUUUGGACUAUUAAAUAUUAUUAAUUUGAAUUAAGUUACAAUGUUUUGUAGGUACGUGAUGUCCCUUCCGAAAUACAGAUUUAUUUGAAUACAUGAUAUAUUCUUCAUACAUCUGCAUAAGACAUAAUAAGAAGACUAGGAAUACAGAAGGCUAGGUUUCCCAUCAUUAAAAAAAACACGGUUAAAAACUAGAGGCACUUAUCAAAUAUUUUAGGCACAAAAGCAGGCACAGAAAAGUGCAUAAAAGACGUAUGAUAUUUAUGCGCCUGUGAGGUGUAUUAUGAUCGUAAUAACAGGUGAAUAAUAAUUUGAUCUGGAUUUGUUAUGGAUUUGAGGUAUCUGACAGUGUAAAAGUGUAAUUUCUUCAACCAGACACAUAACUUUUGACACUUGCAGAUCAUAUCCGUAACAAAUCCAGGGGAAAUCAAUAAGAGUGAGGCCACACUAGUGCGUUGCAUUGCGUUUGCAUCGCAUUAAUGUGGCUUGCCAUAAAAAAUAUAUGUAAAGCGACGCAGCGUUGACGCUGCGACGACGCUUGCGACGUAACAGCGCGACGCAACGCAACGCAACGCUACAGUGUGGCCUCACUCUAAGCUGAUAUUACAAUCAGAAUAGGCGUUCAGAGCAAGAGAAAGGAAACUCAUUAUUUUGCCGUAGCAUAGGUACUACGAGAAUGCUUUUAGUUAAACCUGAAAAACAAGUGCUACGGCCGGCGCGCCGAACUCCAAGGAUUUGGUUCGUUUUUAUCGUAAAUAGUUUACCAGUUGCAUUAGGAAUGUAGGGAGAAAUUUUAGCGAUAGUAGGUACAGUCAGCAUCAAAAGUAGCGGAUGAAAUAACGUUUCAUAAGUAACUACCAUUCUGUAACAGCUUAACAAAAAGUGAUUUCUUUAAUAUAGAACAACUAAGACUGUAAAAGAUAUAAUCUUGAACGAGAAUUUUAGAAAUUUAUCUAUAUUUGGAAAAGUUAUCCGGAAUAUCAGAUACUUUUGGCGCGUUGUUUCAUCCGCUACUUCUGAUGCUGACUGUACCUACAUUCAAACAAAUACCAGGGAUUAUAACUAGAUAUUGUCACUAACACAUUCUGAACUAAUUUCUUUAAUAAGUAAUUUAUAUUUACGAGUAUUACGACGUUUUCAAUCUUAGUACUUUUUCUUCAACACUAUUUUAUGGUAAAGAGAUAAUAUGGAGAUCACCCAUGAAUUGAAAUUAGGGUGCCAAAUAUAAAUAAAUGAAAAUGUCUUUAGUUGACACUGAAUUAUCAUAUACAUGUAAUACAAGUAUUAUUUGUUUCACAAAAGCCAGAAUAACGAGCAAAUUCAUCUAAAUUGACACGUUUACAUGUUAUUACGUAUAAACUUACGGACAGCCUAAUGAACUUGUAGCUAACGAAUAUUACCGUCGGACGGAAACUUUACUCGUAUUUAGCUGGACCUUUACGUACUUAGUAAAGUACAUCGUUUUAGUGUAUGGGAGUUUGUAACUCUGCAGCCCCUGUUCAAAUAAACUGCUUGCUUGGUCGAGGUUACAAAUGGAGUUACAUUCGGACGUUAGGUUCUAUAAGUACAGUAGAGUACUUACUUACAGACAGAUACAGAGAUAGCCCCCUUUGCUUACGAACUUAAUCUUAAUCACAUUCCUGAUUACAUCCUAAAUUAGCAAGGGGUUCGCUUGACAAGUCAUUGGCGUAAUCGACGAUACGACACGCUACCGUUUACCUACCUAGUCUAUGAAAAUGACUACCACCUGACUUUUCUAUACUGAAUAAAUCUAUCUGUUAUGAAAAACAUGUCAGUUGCAUGUAGUCAAACUUUUAACCACUUAAUUAACCAAGUAUAACAUCUCAACACUAACUGUAUAAUAAAUGUUUCCUUGGUAUGUAAGACUAAUUUUACAUGUAGUGUACGUAGCUGUGAUUAUUUUAAAGUCAUAAGAUGUUUUAAAUUAAUUUUUUCGGAAAUAAUUAGUUAAAAUCUUUAACAUAACUAGGUCAGCAGUGUCAGCAUGGUUCCAUUUUUAUCACUUGUCACUAUGCCCGUCACUUUCGCACUUACAUACUUGUUAGAACGUGACAGGAAUGGUGACAAAUGAUAAAGACCCGACCAUCUUAGCCCUACAGAUAAAUUUAAAAGAGGAAAAAUUACUGUCUUGGGUGAGACUUGAACUCACGGUCUCUGGAUCGAUACUCCAGCGCUCUGCCAUCUGAGCCACCAAGACCUCAUCCAUAGGCAGCAAAUUUUCCACCUUAUACAGAUAAAUUCACGAAAACUGUGUAAUGUAAUGUUAUCAUGACUGACUCGUGUCAAAUGCGUGAUUGAAAAAAAACUAUCACCAUACUUUAAGAAAUUAAUUAUACCUAUCAAUAAAAUUUGUCAGAUAAUUCUUACAUUAGUCACACUCAGGUUGUUGAUAUGUCCAAGUGUUGUUCUCAAAGUGAUUAAUAAUUACCCAGUAAUUCGUGAAUUUAUUUACUUGUGGACCAUAGGUGCUCCAUAGCAGAUUUAGAGGGCUUAAAGCUUCUACUGAGUUUUAGGUUUUUCAAAAUGUAUUUAUUUAUUAUUAUCGCCACUUUAAAUUCAUUCCCUCCUUGUACGGUAUAAGCUGCAAUAAUGGCGAAGAGUGAGAACGAUACCAAUGUAAAUAGUUUACAAUAAUUAAAAAUUAAUUUAAUUAUAAAUAACUUUAUAUGAGCACAUGAGUAAAGAAACGAAACCGGAGUGACAGCUUCAUAAAACGGUGUUGUUUUUACAAGCUUUUAUUUACUUUCACCUGACCAUUGUCUGUUUGUAAUCAAAUCUUGCAAGUUAAAUUUGAUCCUCUUCCCGGUUUCCGAUCGAGCUGAAAAUUUGCAUACAUAUGUAUGUCGGGUGACAAUGCAAUAUUAUAGUACCAUCGAGCUGAUCUGAUGAUGGAGACAAGAGGUGGACAUGGGAACUCUGUGAUAAAAUAAGGCAACCUAAUUGUGUUUGGGGUUUUUAGAAUUUGCUCGAUGAGUAUUAGUUGCAUGUGGAAAGAAAAGUACAGUCAGCGAUAAAAGCUUGUACCAAAAAUGAAAUGUUUGCCAAAAACUUAUUUAUUACAUUGCUACCAGCGCGCACCUCAUUCAAUGGUUGUCUUUGUUCUAGGGACAACCGUGUAAGUGGUUGUACUGGUUAUGUAAGCAACAUUGCAUAAUGCUGUUACUCUGUCGCAUUUGUUUACUCGUGUGAUAUGAGCGUAGAGAUAUAUACAGUGUGGUCGCACUCGGUGUUACGUGGUUUUCAAUAAGUGCGUGAGUUUUAUUACUUGUAAUAAAUUAUUGUUAAUAGAUCAAUUAUUACACAA